GUUGGUGGAGUGAUUUGUCUGGUUAAUUCCGUUAACGAACGAGACCCCCGCCUGCUAAAUAGAAUCCUCAAUACUUAGUAUUGUUGUAUUCUUCUUAGAGGGACUUUUGGUGACUAACCAAAGGAAGUUGGGGGCAAUAACAGGU
rnacentral:rRNA from 1 species